GCCUGUGCAGGAGUCAGUGCCAGUCAGGACACAGCAUGGACAUGAGGGCCCCUGCUCAGCUCCUGGGCCUCCUGCUGCUCUGGCUCCCAGGUGCCAGAUGUGCCGUGGUGACCCAGAGUCCAUCUGUGGUGUCCGCAUCUGUGGAAGGCACAGCCACCAUCAAUUGUCAGUCAAGUCUGAGUGUUGCUAGCAACAAUAAUCUAGCCUGGUAUCAGCAGAAACCAGGGCAACCUCCAAAGCCCCUGAUCUAUAUGGCAUCCACUUUAGCAUCUGGGGUCCCCUCGAGGUUCAAGGGCAGUGGAUCUGGGACAUCAUUCACUCUCACCAUCAGCGGGGUGCAGGCUGAGGAUGUUGGAAUCUACUACUGUGCUGGGUAUUAUAGUGAUAACACUUGGACGUUUGGACCGGGGACCAAGCUGGAAAUCCAACGUAGCACAGUUGCGCCAGUUGCCUCCAUCUUCCCACCAGCUAAGGAACAGCUGAGCACCGGCACAGUCUCUAUUGUCUGCAUAGCGGAUAAAUUCUACCCCAGCGAAAUCGGUGUCACCUGGAAGGUGGGUGGUGUUACCAAGAAGACUGGUAUCCUGGAGAGCAAAACACCACAGAACGACUCAGACAAUACCUACAGCCUCAGCAGCACUCUGACGUUGGACACUGCAACUUACAACAGCAACGAUGAGUACACCUGCGAGAUAACACACGCAGGCCUGACCUCACCACUCGUCAAGAGCUUCAGUAGGAGUGCAUGUUAAAUCCAGACACUCACCCAGCACCAUCAGCGGAUCCUGAGGCCCAGCCUCGAUGCUUCCCUGCCUUCAGUGGACCUAGCCCCCACUGCAGUGCAGUCCUCCAGCCCCUCACCUCCUGUGCCCUCCCAAACCCUUCCUUGGCUUUGAUCAUGCGAAUAUUGGUGGGGGAAAUAGAUAAAUAAAGAGAUCCUUGCACCUGU